rnacentral:precursor_RNA from 1 species
AGAGGGUUGCAGUGGCUGCCUUGCUCCUCGUCACUCUGAUUGUCUUGCAGUGGGAGGAACAAGUAUGCAUUUGCUUCUCUU